GUGGCCAGAUGGCCAGCUGUACCCCAUCUGCACUUGACACUGGCUUCCGAAUCGCACUGUAGAAAACAUUCCACAGCUAAAACGCCCUUUGGCGACUGCUGAUGCCUCCCAGCCAGCAUCUCUCCUUGUCCAGGACCACCGUCUUUCCUCCACACUGUGCUUACUUUUUAAAAAAACCUUUAUAAACAGAAGGUAAAACUAUUUCUAGGAAUCCAUAGGCUCUGGUUUUGUUUUGCUUCCAGGUUGAGGCUUUCAAAUGUGGCAGCGAUUGCCAGCGCCUGUCACCCACAGGAGGCCCGCCGCGCCCAUCAGUAUUCCACUUACGCUGGUGUUUUCGCUUUUGCGUGACGCAUGAAGAGUCAUUUCAUGUCUCUGAACCCCGUUCCCACCUCUGAGGCCUGAUGCAGUGAACCAGACACUGACGCUGCCCCAGGAAGUGGGGGGGACACAGACUCUUCAAUCGGAGCCACAGCACCAGUGCAAAAAGGGACACCUGCAGCUCCAGGGUUGCUGGCUCGCCCACACCCUCCACUUCGCCUAAUUGUAACAUGCACAAGGGGAAAUUAAACCAUGAAAUGCACGCUGGCAGAUUUAGAGACAAAAGUUGUUUUCUGUAGGUGUGGUUUGUUUCAGCAAGAAAUUAAAAUAAAUGCUAUCAAUUUGGUAAAUG